GUAUUCAAGCAGUCUGAUUACAGUACAAAUUCGUGAGUAUGUUGAUGGUAAAAAGUUGGUGUAAAUGUCUGUGUUAAAAGACAGGUAGUAA